rnacentral:rRNA from 1 species
CAGUAGCCGCGGGAAAACGUAGGGUGCGAGCGUUAAUCGGAAUUACUGGGCGUAAAGCGUGCGCAGGCGGUUCGUUAAGACAGAUGUGAAAUCCCCGGGCUUAACCUGGGAACUGCAUUUGUGACUGACGGGCUAUAGUAUGGCAGAGGGGGGUAGAAUUCCACGUGUAGCAGUGAAAUGCGUAGAGAUGUGGAGGAAUACCGAUGGCGAAGGCAGCCCCCUGGGCCAAUACUGACGCUCAUGCACGAAAGCGUGGGGAGCAAACAGGAUUAGAUACCCGUGUAGUCCCUGUCUCUUAUAC